rnacentral:rRNA from 1 species
GAUGAACGCUGGCGGCGUGCCUAAUACAUGCAAGUCGAGCGAACGGACGAGAAGCUUGCUUCUCUGAUGUUAGCGGCGGACGGGUGAGUAACACGUGGAUAACCUACCUAUAAGACUGGGAUAACUUCGGGAAACCGGAGCUAAUACCGGAUAAUAUUUUGAACCGCAUGGUUCAAAAGUGAAAGACGGUCUUGCUGUCACUUAUAGAUGGAUCCGCGCUGCAUUAGCUAGUUGGUAAGGUAACGGCUUACCAAGGCAACGAUGCAUAGCCGACCUGAGAGGGUGAUCGGCCACACUGGAACUGAGACACGGUCCAGACUCCUACGGGAGGCAGCAGUAGGGAAUCUUCCGCAAUGGGCGAAAGCCUGACGGAGCAACGCCGCGUGAGUGAUGAAGGUCUUCGGAUCGUAAAACUCUGUUAUUAGGGAAGAACAUAUGUGUAAGUAACUGUGCACAUCUUGACGGUACCUAAUCAGAAAGCCACGGCUAACUACGUGCCAGCAGCCGCGGUAAUACGUAGGUGGCAAGCGUUAUCCGGAAUUAUUGGGCGUAAAGCGCGCGUAGGCGGUUUUUUAAGUCUGAUGUGAAAGCCCACGGCUCAACCGUGGAGGGUCAUUGGAAACUGGAAAACUUGAGUGCAGAAGAGGAAAGUGGAAUUCCAUGUGUAGCGGUGAAAUGCGCAGAGAUAUGGAGGAACACCAGUGGCGAAGGCGACUUUCUGGUCUGUAACUGACGCUGAUGUGCGAAAGCGUGGGGAUCAAACAGGAUUAGAUACCCUGGUAGUCCACGCCGUAAACGAUGAGUGCUAAGUGUUAGGGGGUUUCCGCCCCUUAGUGCUGCAGCUAACGCAUUAAGCACUCCGCCUGGGGAGUACGACCGCAAGGUUGAAACUCAAAGGAAUUGACGGGGACCCGCACAAGCGGUGGAGCAUGUGGUUUAAUUCGAAGCAACGCGAAGAACCUUACCAAAUCUUGACAUCCUUUGACAACUCUAGAGAUAGAGCUUUCCCCUUCGGGGGACAAAGUGACAGGUGGUGCAUGGUUGUCGUCAGCUCGUGUCGUGAGAUGUUGGGUUAAGUCCCGCAACGAGCGCAACCCUUAAGCUUAGUUGCCAUCAUUAAGUUGGGCACUCUAAGUUGACUGCCGGUGACAAACCGGAGGAAGGUGGGGAUGACGUCAAAUCAUCAUGCCCCUUAUGAUUUGGGCUACACACGUGCUACAAUGGACAAUACAAAGGGCAGCGAAACCGUGAGGUCAAGCAAAUCCCAUAAAGUUGUUCUCAGUUCGGAUUGUAGUCUGCAACUCGACUACAUGGAGCUGGAAUCGCUAGUAAUCGUAGAUCAGCAUGCUACGGUGAAUACGUUCCCGGGUCU